UACCAGCACCCCGAGUGGUCGGGACGUUUAUUGGGCCUAAAGCAUCCGUAGCCGGUUCUGCAAGUCUUCCGUUAAAUCCACCUGCUUAACAGAUGGGCCGCGGAAGAUACUAUAGAGCUAGGAGGCGGGAGAGGCAAGCGGUACUUAGUGGGUAGGGGUAAAAUCCGUUGAUCCAUUGAAGACCACCAGUGGCGAAGGCGGCUUGCCAGAACGCACUCGACGGUGAGGGAUGAAAGCUGGGGGAGCAAACCGG
rnacentral:rRNA from 1 species